ACAACUUAAAGCUAAAAGCUUAGGGGCUCAUAAUCUCUAGAGGUUAGUUGUU
rnacentral:tRNA from 1 species